rnacentral:misc_RNA from 1 species
AGGGCUGACUUUCCGCCCUUUAUCGCCGAAAAUACUCCGAUGCCUCUCAAGGACUUUCGCAGUCUCAUUCAUUGACCAUCCGCUACCUCGUUCUGUGGGUGAAUUUUUAUCUUUAUUAAACGGAAAUGGAUUCGAUGAACAAUCUCUCUUUUUCAAGGACUGGUUCAUUUCGCGCAGGGCAGCUGUGUUUGAACUUUUUCCGGGGAGAUUCGUAACAGCUCCAAACUCGUCGCGUAGCUUGAGAAGUUCCUCGAAAUGCUGGGCAGCGAAAACGUAAAUGUCCUCAGGACGAUGCCGAAUAACUUCUCUCGUCAAGCCCUCAACAGCUGCUGCGAGUCCAUGAGGAACUCUAGGAGCUAUGACGAGGUCUCCCGAAGGAGCCUGAAGAUCCCGCCUCGCCAUUCCUUGCAUACUAAAGGGAAAAAUUUACAGGAACGACGUCCGUAAAUCGUUCAUGGCGAUGUUACUCAUGAGAUAAUGAGUAAAGAAUUUCACCAAACUUUCAACU